rnacentral:lncRNA from 1 species
AGAUAUCCGACCCAGAAACUUCUGAGCUAAAGGUGGAGUGUCAUGCUCACCUUCCUGCUCCCUGCUGAGAUCUGCUUGAGUUUGCUUGGGUGUUGUGCGUCCAGUCACAAUCACUUAAAUAUAUUGGAGUGAAAACUCAAGACACAACAGAAGUAAUCACCAUAAACUGCUGAAUACCUGGAUCACAAGAACCAUCCUUAUCUCUUCCGCAUUGUACACUCAGCAAGCUGACGGCAGUCUUUGUGAUUGAGGACCAGUCCCAAAGAGAAGCAAGAAGUACUGACAGAAUUAAGUUUGAAUUCUUCAGAACUCUUCGGAUCGGGCUGUCACCUGGAGGGUGGCCCAACUAGUCUGUCUUGAAGUUCCCUUAAGAAAGAAAGAAG